CAGCCGUAAACGAUGCGCGUUAGGUGUACCGACGACCACGAGUCGUCGAGGUGCCGAAGGGAAACCGUGAAACGUGCCGCCUGGGAAGUACGGUCGCAAGGCUGAAACUUAAAGGAAUUGGCGGGGGAGCACCACAACAGGUGGAGCCUGCGGUUUAAUUGGACUCAACGCCGGAAAUCUCACCGGAUAAGACAGCAGAAUGAUUGCCGGGCUGAAGACUCUGCAUGACUAGCUGAGAGGAGGUGCAUGGCGUAGUCGUGU
rnacentral:rRNA from 1 species